AUACCUACGGGGCGCAGCAGUGGGGAAUAUUGGGCAAUGGGCGCAAGCCUGACCCAGCAACGCCGCGUGAAGGAAGAAGGCUUUCAGGUUGUAAACUUCUUUUCUGAGGGACGAAGAAAGUGACGGUACCUCAGGAAUAAGCCACGGCUAACUACGUGCCAGCAGCCGCGGUAAUACGUAGGUGGCAAGCGUUAUCCGGAUUUAUUGGGUGUAAAGGGCGUGUAGGCGGGAAUGCAAGUCAGAUGUGAAAACUAUG
rnacentral:rRNA from 1 species